rnacentral:rRNA from 1 species
CAGUAGCCACGGUAAUACGUAGGUCCCGAGCGUUGUCCGGAUUUAUUGGGCGUAAAGCGAGCGCAGGCGGUUAGAUAAGUCUGAAGUUAAAGGCUGUGGCUUAACCAUAGUACGCUUUGGAAACUGUUUAACUUGAGUGCAAGAGGGGAGAGUGGAAUUCCAUGUGUAGCGGUGAAAUGCGUAGAUAUAUGGAGGAACACCGGUGGCGAAAGCGGCUCUCUGGCUUGUAACUGACGCUGAGGCUCGAAAGCGUGGGGCGCAAACAGGAUUAGAUACCCCUGUAGUCCCUGUCUCUUAUACA